GCCUCCUUAGCUCAGUGGCAGAGCACUGGUCUUGUAAACCAGGGGUCGUGAGUUCGAAUCUCACAGGGGGCU
rnacentral:tRNA from 1 species